CAAUUGACAACCAAUUAAAGAGUCGCAAUAUAAUUCAAAAUAAUUUCAAACUAACGUGCCAGAAAUACUAAAUUCCAUAAACAAUACUUUUGCUUGAGAAUUUCGGUUAAAUAAGUUAGAAAGAUUCCCAAAAGUCGCAACACGAGCGGCAAUAAAAUCACGCAUAGCAAGCAGUACAAGCCCAAAUACAAGCAUACAUGAAAGUAAACAAGCAAAAGGUUUUGCUUUUCCAAGCGAGCCAUAACAUUUGCUGUCAAGAAAAUGUCAACUUAAGAUAACUGCAUCGGUGCAGAGGGGAGGUCAAAACGUUUGCGAAAAGAUAGGAGGGGGAAUGAUUUCCAUUAACUAAGCGUUCGGCGAUUUAAGAAAUCGCUAGGUGAACAAGCCUAUCCAAUCAACUAUUGAGAAAAUAAUUUGGCGCAGCGAUUAAGUGGCUCACCAUGAUUCAAUUAUUAAAGGUUUGCUCAUUUGACACUCCCUCAGAAAAGGUUGCAUUUAUGCAGGUGAAGAAAGUGGAAAAACUAAAUCCUUUUUGGUGAAAAUGGUAGCAAAAAUGUAUUGUUUUACUUAAAUGAAACAAACUGCAAACUGUUUAAAAAUUAAAUUUUAAUCAAUAUUUGAAUGUAAAUAGUAUAUUUUUUGGACAAUACAAAUA